rnacentral:lncRNA from 1 species
CCCAAUCUGCUCCCCAUGAAUUCUUGAUGAGCCAAUAGGGAACACCAUUUUCAACACCGUAACCCACAGCAAGAACAGCAUGGUUUACAUCCUGCCAAUGCAACACACAAUGUUUGUAAUAUUGUGUAUAUGCCUAUUUAGCGAAGUUAUAAAUUUCACUUAGGGUGUUCAAGAUUUAAUAUAUGCACGACAGUGAAGUGAAGGGUGUUCAACUGACGACCCUUGGUCGGCUGUAGCUUUCCCCUGUAUUUAGGUAACUAUGUCAAUAUAUUUGCAUAUCACGUUCCUAGGGACAGAUGACUUACCAUGGGAGUGUUGCCGCAUUCGGUGCUGGUGUAAACACCACUCUUGUAUUGUUUGAAACCUUUUAUCACCUCAAAAGCUAUACUAACGGGCCUAACCAAUGCAACCGCGUAUUUUAGUUCAUCUUCAGCACCC